rnacentral:rRNA from 1 species
UACGUAUGGUGCAAGCGUUAUCCGGAUUUACUGGGUGUAAAGGGAGCGUAGACGGAUGGGCAAGUCUGAUGUGAAAACCCGGGGCUCAACCCCGGGACUGCAUUGGAAACUGUUCAUCUAGAGUGCUGGAGAGGUAAGUGGAAUUCCUAGCGUAGCGGUGAAAUGCGUAGAUAUUACGAAGAACUCCGAUUGCGAAGGCAGCCUGCUAAGCUGCAACUGACAUUGAGGCUCGAAAGUGUGGGUAUCAAACAGG